UACGAAGGGUGCUAGCGUUGUUCGGAAUCACUGGGCGUAAAGCGCGCGUAGGCGGCUUAACAAGUCAGGGGUGAAAUGCCAAGGCUCAACCUUGGAACUGCCUUUGAAACUGUUAGCUAGAGUGUCGGAGGGGAUAGCGGAAUUGCUAAUGUAGAGGUGAAAUUCGUAGAUAUUAGCAGGAACACCGGUGGCGAAGGCGGCUAUCUGGACGACAACUGACGCUUAGCGCGAAAGCGCGGGAUCAAACAGG
rnacentral:rRNA from 1 species